CCUACGGGAGGCUGCAGUGGGGGAUAUUGCACAAUGGGGGAAACCCUGAUGCAGCGACGCCGCGUGUGGGAAGACGGUCCUCUGGAUUGUAAACCACUUUCCCCAGGGACGAAGAUGACGGUACCGGGGGAGGAAGCUCCGGCUAACUACGGGCCAGCAGCCGCGGUAAUAGGUAGGGAGCGAGCGUUGUCCGGAAUUACGGGGUGUACAGGGAGCGUAGGGGGGGAUGAAAGUUGGGUGUCAAACCUACCGGCUAAACUGGUAGUCGCACUCAAAACUGCAGCUCUUGAGUGAAGUAGAGGCAGGCGGAAUGCCUAGUGUAGCGGUGAAAUGCGUAGAUAUUAGGAGGAACACCAGUGGCGAAGGCGGCCUGCUGGGCUUUUACUGACGCUGAGGCUCGAAAGUGUGGGGAGCAAACAGGAUUAGAUACCCGAGUAGUC
rnacentral:rRNA from 1 species